rnacentral:rRNA from 1 species
GAUGAACGCUGGCGGCGUGCCUAAUACAUGCAAGUCGAGCGAACAGAUAAGGAGCUUGCUCCUUUGACGUUAGCGGCGGACGGGUGAGUAACACGUGGGUAACCUACCUAUAAGACUGGAAUAACUCCGGGAAACCGGGGCUAAUGCCGGAUAACAUUUAGAACCGCAUGGUUCUAAAGUGAAAGAUGGUUUUGCUAUCACUUAUAGAUGGACCCGCGCCGUAUUAGCUAGUUGGUAAGGUAACGGCUUACCAAGGCAACGAUACGUAGCCGACCUGAGAGGGUGAACAGCCAAACUGGAACUGAGACACGGUCCAGACUCCUACGGGAGGCAGCAGUAGGGAAUCUUCCGCAAUGGGCGAAAGCCUGACGGAGCAACGCCGCGUGAGUGAUGAAGGUCUUCGGAUCGUAAAACUCUGUUAUUAGGGAAGAACAAAUGUGUAAGUAACUGUGCACGUCUUGACGGUACCUAAUCAGAAAGCCACGGCUAACUACGUG